UAGUUUUGGCAACCGGUGAAGGGAUUCAGAGCAGACAUCUCUCCUUUGCCUGAACUCUAUGAAGAUCUGGAACCUGGCACAAGCAGAGGCCUCUUGGGUCUGUCCGCCUCCUGAGGGAGUCCAGACAAAUUUGUCAAAAACUCCUAUAUAUCCUGGCUCCUCCCUCACCUCUUUGGAACAAUUCCUCAGAGCUACCUGAGAGGCUGUAUCCUGGGCUUAAAUCCUAAGCCCACCAAAUAAAAGGACAUGGUGCUGGUGGUUGAGGUUUGGCUUUGGUUUUUGGUGUCACAAAGUCGGCUCCUGGACUGCAGUACGACUCCGAGCUCAGAGGCAACAGGGACAGAUGCCAAAGCCUUAACUUGCGAAUAAUCUCUGCUUCCUCCUCUCAGGAGCUCACAUAAUUCAUGGAUCUGGAGAGGCCUGCCACACCUUUCAGCUGUAUUAGGUUGUAAUUCAUCGUCAGAACCAGAAGAUUCCAAAUGUAAAGGCCAAACUGUUCGGAAGCUGCUCUAACGAAAUGAUUCUGUGGCCUAGGGCAGCUAGCAACCCUCCAGGUGGGCCCGAGCAACUCACAAAACAUUUCACCCCCAAAGCGUUGUGAGUAGUAUUACCCAUUCUUACAGGCCAUCAAAUACAGGUUGGGCUUGACUCUACUGUCAAAGGGGAGGGAGGACUUUGGCUCACUGUAAUGAUUGCAUCCUACCCGCACCCCCCAACCCUUUGGUGCAGGACCCAGGUCGGUCCCUGACUGCACAGGCUUUUCUUGGCACAGACAGCAAUGGCUUCGGGCCGCUUUCCAUUUGUCACUUGCCAGCAGGCUGCAGCCAGUGUGCAGUUCAAGUGCCUGGCUUGAAAGCGUUCCAGCGUAGUGUGCUGUGGGUUUGAGGUUUGCCCUCACUCGUUCUCACUGUGUGUGGGAAGUUCCCCUGGGAAAUGAGGUGGUGGCUUGGCAUGCCAGACUUUUCAACGAUCUUCCGCUGUGGGUCUGAGGCCAGCUCCACCAGCAAGUGGAAAGUGGCCAGGCUCUCUGAGGAGGCCUCUGCCAGUUAUUUUCAAAUGCAGUUCAGUGUGUGUUCCCUUCUUCCAAUUCUCAAGUCUGAAUAGGGCAAGUUGUUUGUCUCUUUUUCUUUCUUCCUUCCCUCCUCCCUCCCUCCCUUCUUUGAUUUUUUUGUUUUUGUUUUUUUUUUGGCCACGGCAUUGUAAGUCCCAGUUUGCAUUUCCUGAUUAUAUUCCCUUUGUCAAAUUUGCAACAUAACAAAUUUCAGAUCUGGCAGCAUCACCUGUUAAAAACCUCCUUACCAGUAAAUACUUGUUAAAGGACUCCAUUUCCCACUUCCCUCCCUGUUCAGGGUUUUAUUUCUAAUUAGCAUUCAAAUAUUUCCUUUAUUAACAUCAGAAAUUUAACUAUGUACAUAUUUGAAACCUGAACGCAUUAACUCUAUAGAUCCCUUGAAAAUGCUGUUUGCCAGGUGUGCAAUCACAGUGAAUGUGCAAAAAUGUCGCACAAUUAGUUUUUAAAGCUUACCUUAAAACAUGCUGAGGGACUAGCUUUUUAGGUAGAGAAAAAUAACUCCCUAGACAUUAGAACAAACAAGGAAAAUGCAUGAAAUGAGUGAGAAAUGAAGAGGAUUAUAUUCAAAGGAAAGAUAUUUGGGAGAGGGAGACCUUAAAAGGAAGGAAGGAAACAGAGACUUUCCAAUGCAAACGUGAGCAGAUUUCAUUUGUCAAGAAAGACGCCGGUCAGAAUGGCCAUCAUCAAAAAAUCUAGAAACAAUAAAUGCUGGAGAGGGUGUGGAGAAAAGGGAACACUCUUGCACUGUUGGUGGGAAUAUAAAUUGAUACAGCCACUAUGGAGAACAGUAUGGAGGUUCCUUAAAAAACUAAAAAUAGAACUACCAUAUGACCCAGC